ACCGUGAGGGAAAGGUGAAAAGAACCCCGGGAGGGGAGUGAAAUAGAACCUGAAAUUGUGUGCUUACAAGCGGUCAGAGCCACUUCGGUGGUGAUGGCGUGCCUUUUGGAGAAUGAUCCUGCGAGUUACGUUUCAUGGCGAGGUUAAGAAGAACGGAGCCGAAGGGAAACCGAGUCUGAAUAGGGCGCAAUAGUCGUGGAGCGUAGACGCGAAACCUGGUGAUCUAAGCCUGUCCAGGAUGAAGCUGUGGUAAGACACAGUGGAGGUCCUAACCCACCGCCGUUGAAAAGUUGGGGGAUGAGGUAGGUUUAGGGGUGAAAAGCCAAUCGAACUAGGAGAUAGCUCGUUCUCUCCGAAAUGCAUCUAGGUGCAGCCUUGCGUGUUUAAUGAUGGGGGUAGAGCACUGACUGAACUAGGGGGCAUAUUGCUUACUGAAUUCAAUCAAACUCCGAAUACCAUUAUUCAAGAGCGCAGGAGUGAGACCAUGGGAGUUAACUUCCAUCGUCGAAAGGGAAACAACCCAGACCACCAGCUAAGGUCCCAAAUCAUAUCUAAGUGGGAAAGGAGGUGGAGAUUCUUAAACAACUAGGAGGUUGGCUUAGAAGCAGCCAUACCUUGAAAGAGUGCGUAAUAGCUCACUAGUCGAGAGUCUCUGCGCCGACAAUGUAACGGGGCUAAGAUAUGAACCGAAGCUGUGGAUGUCGUAAGACAUGGUAGGAGAGCGUUCUGUAGGCCGUCGAAGGAGAACUGAAAGGAACUCUGGAGGUAUCAGAAGUGAGAAUGCAGGAAUAAGUAGCGAGAAGGGGAGUGAGAAUCUCCCCCGCUGGAAGACCAAGGUUUUCAGGGUAAAGCUUGUCUUCCCUGAGUAAGCCGGGACCUAAGCCCAGGCUAGAAUGCGUAGGCGAAUGGAAAACAGACGAAUAUUUCUGUGCCAGUUCUACUUUGUGAAGGAGGGACGCAGAAGGGUAUGCGCGCGGACGAACGGAAGUGUCCGUAGAAGCAUGUAGAGUGACUUGGUAGGCAAAUCCGCCAGGUUAGACUUGAGGUGUGACAUAGAAUCGUAAGAGGAAUGCGCAAAUCCCACGCUGCCGAGAAAAGCUUCUAACGUUAAAGUAGAGACUGCCCGUACUGGAAACCGACACAGGUGGUCAGGAUGAGAAAUCUAAAGCGGACAGGCUAACUCUCGUUAAGGAACUCUGCAAAAUGGCCCCGUAACUUCGGGAGAAGGGGUGCCUCUUAGUGUUCGUAUUCACGCAAUACAAAGCGCCGAGAGGUCGCAGUGAAGAGGCUCAAGCAACUGUUUAACAAAAACACAGGUCUAUGCGAAGCUGUAAGGCGAUGUAUAUGGGCUGACACCUGCCCAGUGCCGGAAGGUUAAGAGGAGGAGUGAGAGCUCCGAAUUGAAGCCCCGGUGAACGGCGGCCGUAACUAUAACGGUCCUAAGGUAGCGAAAUUCCUUGUCGGGUAAGUUCCGACCUGCACGAAUGGUGUAAUGAUUUGAGCGCUGUCUUGACGGGAGGCCUGGUGAAAUUGUAUUACCGGUGAAGAUACCGGUUACCUACAGUAGGACGGAAAGACCCCAUGGAGCUUUACUGUAGCUUGGUAUUGGGUUUUGGCAUGGCAUGUAUAGGAUAGUUGGGAGACUGGGAAGGUAUGGCGCUAGCUGUACCGGAGUCACUGGUGGAAUACCAACCAUUCCCUGCUGAAAUUCUAAUCUGUGGUUUGUCGCCACGGAGACAGUGCUAGGUGGGCAGUUUGACUGGGGCGGUCGCCUCCGAAAGAGUAACGGAGGCGUUCAAAGGUUCUCUCAGGUUGGAUGGAAAUCAACCGCAGAGUGCAAUGGCAAAAGAGAGCUUGACUGCAAGACUGACGGGUCGAGCAGAUGCGAAAGCAGGACAUAGUGAUCCGGCGAUUCCGAAUGGAAGGGUCGUCGCUCAACGGAUAAAAGCUACCCUGGGGAUAACAGGCUGAUCCUACCCGAGAGUCCAUAUCGACGGUAGGGUUUGGCACCUCGAUGUCGGCUCAUCGCAUCCUGGGGCUGGAGAAGGUCCCAAGGGUUGGGCUGUUCGCCCAUUAAAGCGGUACGUGAGCUGGGUUCAGAACGUCGUGAGACAGUUCGGUCCCUAUCCACUGUAGGCGCAAGAAUAUUGAGAAGAUCUGUCCUUAGUACGAGAGGACCGGGAUGGACAAACCUCUGAUGUACCAGUUGUCACGCCAGUGGCACAGCUGGGUAGUCACGUUUGGCAUAGAUAACCGCUGAAAGCAUCUAAGCGGGAAACUAGCUUCAAGAUAAGUAUUCU
rnacentral:rRNA from 1 species